rnacentral:rRNA from 1 species
GUUUACUGUACCUUAGUUGCUUCGGCGGGCCCGCCAUUCAUGGCCGCCGGGGGCUCUCAGCCCCGGGCCCGCGCCCGCCGGAGACACCACGAACUCUGUCUGAUCUAGUGAAGUCUGAGUUGAUUGUAUCGCAAUCAGUUAAAACUUUCAACAAUGGAUCUCUUGGUUCCGGCAUCGAUGAAGAACGCAGCGAAAUGCGAUAACUAGUGUGAAUUGCAGAAUUCCGUGAAUCAUCGAGUCUUUGAACGCACAUUGCGCCCCCUGGUAUUCCGGGGGGCAUGCCUGUCCGAGCGUCAUUGCUGCCCAUCAAGCACGGCUUGUGUGUUGGGUCGUCGUCCCCUCUCCGGGGGGGACGGGCCCCAAAGGCAGCGGCGGCACCGCGUCCGAUCCUCGAGCGUAUGGGGCUUUGUCACCCGCUCUGUAGGCCCGGCCGGCGCUUGCCGAACGCAAAUCAAUCUUUUUCCAGGUUGACCUCGGAUCAGGUAGGGAUACCCGCUGAACUUAAGCAUAUCAAUAAGCGGAGGA